rnacentral:rRNA from 2 species
UAAGUAGACCGCCUGGGGAGUACGGCCGCAAGGUUAAAACUCAAAUGAAUUGACGGGGGCCCGCACAAGCGGUGGAGCAUGUGGUUUAAUUCGAUGCAACGCGAAGAACCUUACCUGGUCUUGACAUCCACAGAACUUUCCAGAGAUGGAUUGGUGCCUUCGGGAACUGUGAGACAGGUGCUGCAUGGCUGUCGUCAGCUCGUGUUGUGAAAUGUUGGGUUAAGUCCCGCAACGAGCGCAACCCUUAUCCUUUGUUGCCAGCGAUUAGGUCGGGAACUCAAAGGAGACUGCCAGUGAUAAACUGGAGGAAGGUGGGGAUGACGUCAAGUCAUCAUGGCCCUUACGACCAGGGCUACACACGUGCUACAAUGGCGCAUACAAAGAGAAGCGACCUCGCGAGAGCAAGCGGACCUCAUAAAGUGCGUCGUAGUCCGGAUUGGAGUCUGCAACUCGACUCCAUGAAGUCGGAAUCGCUAGUAAUCGUGGAUCAGAAUGCCACGGUGAAUACGUUCCCGGGCCUUGUACACACCGCCCGUCACACCAUGGGAGUGGGUUGCAAAAGAAGUAGGUAGCUUAACCUUCGGGAGGGCGCUUACCACUUUGUGAUUCAUGACUGGGGUGAAGUCGUAACAAGGUAACCGUAGGGGAACCUGCGGUUGGA